CUGCCCGUAGCUCAGUUGGAUAGAGCACCAGCCUUCUAAGCUGGUUGUCACAGGUUCGAUCCCUGUCGGGCAGACCA
rnacentral:tRNA from 2 species